rnacentral:rRNA from 1 species
ACGGGUGAGUAACACGUGGGUAACCUGCCUGUAAGACUGGGAUAACUCCGGGUAAACCGGGGCUAAUACCGGGAUGCUUGAUUGAACCGCAUGGUUCCAUCCUUAAAGGGGGCUUUUGGCUUCCCCUUUCCGAUGGGCCCCCGGCGCAUUUACUAGUUGGGGAGGUAACCGCUCCCCCAGGGGACCAUUCCUAACCCAACUGAAAGGGUGAUCCGCCCCCCUGGGACUGAAACCCCGCCCCAAAUCCUUCGGGAGGGAGCA